rnacentral:tRNA from 1 species
GAGGGUGUAGCUCAGUGGUAGAGCACGUGCUUAGCAUGCAUGAGGUCCUGGGUUCAAUCCCCAGCACCUCCA